GGCUCGGUAGCUCAGUCGGUAGAGCAAUGGAUUGAAGCUCCAUGUGUCGGCGGU
rfam:Lactobacillus equi DPC 6820 NODE_94, whole genome shotgun sequence.